rfam:Triticum aestivum genome assembly, contig: Triticum_aestivum_CS42_TGACv1_scaffold_063448_1DL
CAUGUACUCCCUGUGUCCGACAAAGAUUGUCCUAAAUGAAUGUAUCUAGCACCAAGUUAGUGCUAGAUACAUCAUUUGAUGGACAAGCUUGGGACAAGCUUUUUCGGACGGAGGGAGUAUAUA